rnacentral:misc_RNA from 1 species
CACAAACCAGCCACAUGGCUUGCCUUUAUUUUAAUUAUAGAAGUAGUCGUCACAAUUGAAAGGCAAAUUCAGAAAUUAUUUUUAAAAAAUAGUAUUACAAUAUUAUCUUACAUGAGAUUCACCUGAAAUUUAUGAUUCUGAAACCACGCUUGUCCUACAUGCUUCUUCUCUCCGAGUAAUUAACAGAGUGAUGCACUCGAACCUGAGUGCGCAUUUUCAUUUUCAGGAGAUCUUAUAGUUGUCAUCAUCUUCUUCUUCUUCACCAAUAUAAAAAGCUUUUCAAAAUGGAACAAGUGCUUCCUUACUCUAUACACAUGUAUGCUAUAAAGUAAUCCCGCCAAUGUCACAGUGGAAAAAGACAUUAAAGUCAAUUUCCAGAAAUCCUGCGGGUUUGAGAUAAUUAUUCCCAUCACAUACCCCAAUAAGUCUAGAGUAGACUGAAGAGAGUUCUGAGCGCCCCCAACAACGCAACGAUCAGAUUCAGGAACAUGAUCCUGCAUUUGUUGAAUGACGGAUAGGUCAAACAUCCACAAGCCAAGGCGAGAUGUUGCCACUCCAGCCAUCAGCAUGUAAGCUGAGAAGAGAUUAUUUCGGACCCAUAUUGAAGCAACACAUAAUAAGAGGCAGCUCCACUGAGACCAGAUUGACCAGAGUCCUGCUCUGAGAGUAUGGAUGUGAGAUUGCAAGAUUGGAUAUGCAAGUGUUGCACCUAUUCCAAUCAAAGCACUUACCCCCCGUGCUAUUCCAAUUACUACUGCAGGUAUACCUUCCCAUUCUAAGGUUGCUGUCAUCAAGGUGCCGAAACUGAGGACUGUGAAAUAUAACAAAGCCAGAGCUACUCCAGGAAGCACCACAUCUUGCUGCAAAUACACACUCCAGGCACCAAUAAAUGGGGCCUUGGAAAUCCAUUCACUUAAGUUCCUUCUCCAACCUUUGUCUUCCAUUGCUGAAGAUUCCUCAUUUUGAGAAAGUAAGCUCACUUUUUGGCUGGAAAGAGAUGCACCCUCUUCAUGGUCACUAUGUAAAGAUCUUAAAACCUUCCUUUGGCUGCUCUCACCCAAAGCUGGAAUCCCUUUAUAUACAGAUAUAAAAAGCCAAUAUUCCAUCCAAACUGCUAAAGUAUUCCAAACUGCUAAAGUCAUAGCAGAGGCUUUAACUGAUACAAAGCUGAUUAUGAAGCCACUGACCACUGGAGCAAGAAGCUUGCAGGUUAAAUCAAUCCGUCUGAUGAUUGAAUUCAUAUUUGUUAGUACACUAUGAGGAUGGCCUUCUGAUAUCACCACGACCCAUUCUCUUUCUAUUAGGAUGGUACCAGCAAGAGUGGCAAGCACACCAACUGCUCCAGAGAUGUUGGUUAAUAUCACAAGGAAGAUGAAAGCUGUGAAAUUUGUUGACUUCAAGGUUGAAAAGACUAGUAAUGCAAUUACUGAGAAUCCAGCAAUUACAAAGGAGAGGUUCUGAGUCGCCAACCAUAUUCGAAGAAUCUGCCAAUCAGGCAAAUAGACAUAUAUGAAAGCCAGUAAUUUAGCUUAUUUGUUAUGCUUUCGCCCACUUCAUGUAAACAAAUACCAAUGAAUAUACGGAAGCAGGUACUUAAGUGUCACGUAAGAUUUUACUCGCUGAAACUCUCAGGCACGUAAUGGCAAGAAGGAUCAGGCUUUCGAGACUCCCAAGGAUCAAAACCCCAACCCAAAAAAUAUCCAGCUAUCUUCUCCAAGGCAAUCACACUAGUAAUACAGUGUAAGGUUCAAACUUCACAAAGUUUCAUGAAUUUUCCAGUUUCAAUGCUGAAUCUCGAAAUUUGCAUCCUUUCAACAGACAUCUCUUUGAAUUGAUACAUCAUUUUGAUUCAAAUUUUCUUUUGGUUAGCAUUUUAAAAAAGAAUUUCAAUAAAUUAACAAGUUCUUGCAAACCUUAACAUAUGUCAACUUCUCUGCACAUUGUCCUACAAUGGGACCAAACAAUGCAACAGAGGCAGAUUCAAUAGCUCCAUAGAUGGCAGCAAGGAUUAAGGAAUUCGGCCAAAGAGUGAUCAUGUACAAACCAACAGAGAAUUCCCACAUUCUGCAGAUAACCAAAGAUUAAUGAAAUCCCACAUAAGACAGUGUACAUCAAGCAUGCAGGAGUAUGACAACUCAAUCUAUGAAUAUCAAUGUGAAACUUGGCACUGAGUUCAUCUAGCAAAUAAGUUGUUUUUGAAUUAGAAAAACUUAUCUAAUUAAAAAGAACUUUAUUUGUUUUUUCAAAAUUAUCCAAAUAUUUUUCAACAGCAACACAAAUAAUGAUAAUUGGUUAAGGCGGCCCCAAAAAUUUUUAUGAAUAAUGAGAGGAUAAUUGAAAAACUAUGGAAGAGAUCAAAACCCUUUUGGAGAAAAAGCCAAAAGAAAUGAAGUUCAGGCAAAAAAGAAACAAUAAAAACAGAAUCCAAACAAAAGUGUGCAAUAAAAGUUGCCGAACCCAGAAGAAAUACAUAUAUAAUAAAGAAUUACCACAUUGCUCAAGACAAAUUGCCCCUCAAUUCCAAUUAUGACAAGCAGUGAAGGUUUAAGAGAAAAUCAAGAACAGGUUAAAAUAAUGGAAUCCG